AAUCAACGCUGGCGGCGUGCCUCAGACAUGCAAGUCGAACGAUUAAAGCUCUCUUCGGAGAGUGUAUAGAGUGGCGCACGGGUGAGUAACACGUAAGUAAUCUACCCUCGAGUGGGGAAUAACAACCGGAAACGGUUGCUAAUACCGCAUAAUGCAGCGGCACCGCAAGGUGACAGUUGUUAAAGAUUUAUCGCUUGAGGAGGAGCUUGCGGCAGAUUAGCUAGUUGGUAGGGUAACGGCUUACCAAGGCCACGAUCUGUAACCGGUCUAAGAGGACGGUCGGUCACACUGACACUGAAUAACGGGUCAGACUCCUACGGGAGGCAGCAGUCGGGAAUUUUGGGCAAUGGGCGAAAGCCUGACCCAGCAACGCCGCGUGAAGGAUGAAGUAUUUCGGUAUGUAAACUUCGAAAGAAUAGGAAGAAUUAACGACGGUACUAUUUAUAAGGUCCGGCUAACUACGUG
rnacentral:rRNA from 1 species